rnacentral:rRNA from 1 species
UCGACUCUUAAUGGGACUGCCGGUGACAAACCGGAGGAAGGUGGGGAUGACGUCAAGUCCUCAUGGCCCUUAUGGCGAGGUCUCACACGUAAUACAAUGGUCGGUACAGAGGGUUGCCAAGCCGCGAGGUGGAGCCAAUCCCACAAAGCCGGUCGUAGUCCGGAUCGCAGUCUGCAACUCGACUGCGUGAAGUCGGAAUCGCUAGUAAUCGUGGAUCAGCAUGUCACGGUGAAUACGUUCCCGGGUCUU